UUAACGGCCCUUAUCAGGGCCACCCCAAUUUUCCAAGAAAAGCUUU
rfam:Lingula anatina scaffold1050, whole genome shotgun sequence.